rnacentral:rRNA from 1 species
CCAAUAGCGUAUAUUAAAGUUGUUGCAGUUAAAAAGCUCGUAGUUGAAUUUCAGGCCUGGCUGGACGGUCCGCCCUUCGGGUGAGUACUGUCUGUGGUCGGGUCCUACUUUCUGGCGAAUCGUCAUGGCCUUAACCGGCCGUGGCGGGGAACCAGGACUUUUACUGUGAAAAAAUUAGAGUGUUCAAAGCAGGCAAUCGC